CACUGAGUCCUACAUAUGUAGUUACUACAACUGAAGCUGUAUGUUCUGCUACAUAAAAUGAUGCAUUUGCAUUUAACUCUUUUUAUUCUGACAACAAACUGGCUUUCGACUACAUGUUUAGAGCUCAUACAGGUCCAUCAGGACCUAGAGGACCUGGUUCUUUCAAAAGGAUCAUCACUAAAGGUCUCCUGUGCCAUAAGUGGUACUAAUGACCCAUAUCUUUACUGGUACCGCUGGACUCCUGCAGAAGGGUUUACACUGGUAUUCUACUCUAUAAGUGCUGGUUCAGUGAAUCCAUCCAGUGAGGGUCAGUUUAAAUCUCGUAGACCUGAUAAGCUUCAUAUUGUUCUGGAGUCUGAAGGACUGAAUGAGAUCGGCUCUGCAGUGUGGUAUUGUGCAGCCAGUCCCCACAGCAUCCCAGUGUCAUCACAGAGCUGUACAAAAACCACAACUGUUCAUUAGGACUAGGACUACUGUCUGAGGCCACAUGACCUUGA